GCUUGUCUCAAAGAUUAAGCCAUGCAUGUCUCAGUAUAAGCUUUUACACGGCGAAACUGCGAAUGGCUCAUUAAAACAGUUAUCGUUUCUUUGGUGGUUAUUGAUUACAUGGAUAGCCGUGGUAAUUCUAGAGCUAAUACAUGCGCCCAGACCCAACUUUUAGGAAGGGUUGUAUUUAUUAGAUGGAAACCAAUUCGGGGUAACCCGGUUUAUGGUGAUUCAUAAUAACUUUCGGAUCGACGCAAGUCGAUGCAUCAUUCAAGUUUCUGCCCUAUCAGUUGUGGAUGGUAGGGUAUUGGCCUACCAUGACUUUAACGGGUAACGGAGAAUUAGGGUUCGAUUCCGGAGAGGGAGCCUGAGAAAUGGCUACCACAUCCAAGGAAGGCAGCAGG
rnacentral:rRNA from 1 species